UAAGACCGCCCUGUGUUUACAAAAUACUCGACAUCUUUCAGGGAUUUCGCUCUCGCUUCAAGCUGUAAUCCUUGCGUCCCGCUGUGAAUUGGCGUCUCCUUCCCUUCGACUAAGUGAGUCACGGUGUUUUUCCAAAUGUCAGAGUGGAAAAGCAGUUCCAAGAACAAAAAAAACACAGAUCUACCAAUCGCUAUUCAACACUGGCACUUGGAGCAGAGCUUCCAUGUAUGUGCUCACGCCGAAUAACAGUUUCCAACCUCGUCAAACGCAACCAAAGGCUUCUUCCCUGUAGUCCAAGGCCAGAUGAGUUCAAGUCAAACACAAGGUUAGUGAAGGCUGAGUCAAUCCUUUUAAACUGCAGCUGCGGAGAGAACUACGGCUUAUAGAGGUGCAGCGCCCUCUUAAAUGAGGUACAGUGCAGUGCCCAUCCAUCCAUCUCCUGGGCUGGACCUCUACUGUCAGAAGCAACACCCAAGAUGAAGAUGAGUGUGAGAGAGAUGGGCUUCUGAGCGUCUUCCAUCCCGAUCCAUCAAUCCUAGUGGACUUCUCUAAUAACCUUUACAGAGAACUGAUGUCUGAUGGCAAAGAGGAAGGACAGGAGGAAACACAGAUCUCCUCCAGCGGGCUUGAUCUUUUUCCUCUUCCUGCUGUGUUUUUAACAGGAUGACUCGAAUAAAAGAUCGGCGACACAGUGGCCCGCGUGUUCAGACGUUCUUAAGGCCGCGGGCUUGUUUUUAAUUUGAGCUAAUAUUCGGGGUGAAGCCUGAGGGUUUGGGUGCUGUGAGCUCUCUUUUCCUUUUUGGAUAUUAUUAAAACUGGAGGUAGGGAAUCACAUCAAGGGUGCUGAGGCCCAAGCGCUGGAAUAUAUUCGCAGAACAUAAACACAAUGAGUGAAUAGAGGCUCAGACAAUAAAAGAG
ensembl:lncRNA